AUACGUAGGUGACAAGCGUUAUCCGGAUUUACUGGGCGUAAAGGGCGUGUAGGUGGUCUUGCAAGUCAGAAGUGAAAUUCCUGAGCUCAACUCGGGCGCUGCUUCUGAAACUGCAGGACUUGAGUGCUGGAGGGGAUAGCGGAAUUCCUAGUGGAGCGGUAAAAUGCGCAGAUAUUAGGAAGAACACCGGUGGCGAAGGCGACUUACUGGACUGUAACUGACGCUGAGGCGCGAAAGUGUGGGGAGCAAACAGGAUUAGAUACCCUGGUAGUCCACACUGUAAACGAUGAAUGCUAGGUGUAGGGGGUAUCGACCCCUUCUGUGCCGCAGUCAACACAAUAAGCAUUCCGCCUGGGGAGUACGGCCGCAAGGUUGAAACUCAAAGGAAUUGACGGGG
rnacentral:rRNA from 1 species